CGAGGCUGCGGUGUUCCUCUCCCAACCGCCCUGGGCGGGCGGCGGCGGUUCCGCGCCGAGUGUUGGUAACGCCCCCCCCGAGGCAAACAACUCCGGUCGGCGAGCAGGGCGCCCGCCUCCCGCACCAGUUUCACCUAGCGCAUGUAAAACGAAAUGAAAAAUUCCCCUGAGCGCUGGCCUCGUCUGAAAGACCGAAGCACACAACUGACUGACAAGGCUGCGGAGUACCGCACGCUGGCAGGGCCACGCAACGCCGGCUCUAACGACACCAGGAGUUGGAUCUUUCUUACAAGUAGAACAGAAGGAGGCAGACGUGGGCUAUCAAAGAUAUGGAAUGGCUUUUAGAGAAGAAAUCAAAUCGUUUUGGAUUCUUCAGCCUCAAAAAGAGAUGGCUGGAGUCCAGGUGGUAAAACCAUGAGAGGCAUGGGAUGGAGAAGUUCCACCUACCGAAGACAUGUGGCAAAUGCUCUCCUGGCAUUUCUGUAUACAAAAUGGAUAGGAAACCCCUUAAAAGUGUGGCCAUCAGGUAC